UCUUCAUUUUAAUUAUCAAUUUUUUUCUCAGAUUAACUUUAUCAUAGUUUUCUCCGCUCAUUACUUUUCAUUCCUCAUAUUCUUUAGUUCGCCGAUUUCUCUCCACAUUCUCUUAAUCCCAACGUCGACAACAACCACUGCCAUGCCCCUUUUUCGUUGUAGGUUGAAUCCACGACAACCACCUCACCGUCGCUGACGACACCAAGAUCGUCGUGACAAGUGGUGCAAGGUUAGUAGGGACCGCACCUAGGGAAUCAGCUGAUUUCGCGAGGGACAAUGUGCGCAUGGUGGACAAUUUCGAGCAUGAGGCACCACUUUGGGAACCCUAGAUUCGAGCAUUUGCCCAAUCAACUUCUGAAAUUGUCAAACAGUGACUCAAUGGCUGGGUGGUGCGCAAUGGAUGCGAUGGCGCAGGAGAAUAUUAGAGUGAGGGAAAGGAUUGCGAAGACGGAAAUUGUUGUGGUGAUUAUGGGUUUUGAGAUUUGGGAUUUAGAGCUUCGUUGCUGAUCUUCGAUUUCGUGUUGGUGAUCGCGUUCUAUUUUAUCGUAACCUUUGAACAUUUUCAGAGAAUCCAUCUUUCUUUCUUACUCUGCUGGGACUUCCAAAUUGUCGUUGCUAUUAUGACUGUGUGCUCUACUAAAUUUUUGUGCUCUACCUCAGGUUUUGGGCACGCAUUGUAGUUGCUUAUGCAUUUACCUUUUGGACAUGCUAUAUUUUAUCCAAGGAGUAUGAAAAAGUUGCCGUAAUGAGAUUGCAAUUUCUUGCGUCAGAAAAACGCCGUCCUGAUCAAUUCACGGCCGGACAACUAUCUUACUCACCAGGUUUCAUAAGCUCGUAACUAGAUGCUAUUGUCCUACAACAGAUGUUGCGCAAAGGGCGUUGAAAGCAGGAUUGCAUCAAUCCCAAAUAAAGAUUUUUGGUCUACCUGUUCGGCCUUCCUUUGUUAAGCCUGUCCGGCCAAAGGUGUCAUUCUUAUAGCUAUUACUUAAAUUAUUAGCAAGUUUACUAACAAUUCUGUAAUUGUAACACAGAAUUAUGUGCUAUAUAUACUAUUAGCAAAUGAAUGCCUCUGAAUUUUUGAAA